UUUUAAACCGUUUUCUCUGACCAUGCUAAGCUAGCAGCUAGUAACUAGCCUAUACUACACAUGGUGAAAGCAUUCUCUGCUUAAAGUAUGUCCAUUUGUCCUUCAGAAUGUGAAAAUGUGCAGCUGCUAAAAUCAGUCUGCUGUAUUGCUGCUUGUUAUCUGUGUGCAGGUAUGUUGCAAGGGCAAUAAUAAUAAUUGUAUUCAGAGCUAAUGUGUUAAAAAAAAGAAAAAAAAAAACCCUAUAACACUCUAGCACAAUACUCAGCCAAGAAAGUAUGAAACAAGAAAAAAAAAUAAUACUAAACGAUCACAGUGCAGUUUUUAUAUAAUGAUAUAUUAUAUAGUAUAUCUUUAUAUAUAUAUAUAUAUAUAUAUAUAUAUAUACACUCGUUAUAUUUUUUUUUUUACACUAUAUUAUUUUUCUGUAGUUAUACUGCAUUACUGUAUUAUUAUUAUGACUGCAUUAUAAAUUUAUGUAUAUGUAUUAUACAGUCUAACAUAUGCUCUGCCAGAGAAUGUGCAAAUGUGCAGCUGCUGUAAUCAAACUGCUGUGUUGCUGCUUGCUAUCUUUGUGCAGAGGUCAAGAGAGAGAGAGAGAGAGUGCCAGACAAUAAAGAGUAAAGAGAGAAAGACAAGAGAGCGGUCUCCUGGUCCUCCUUCAUGCACGCACACGCAACCGUUACACAGAGAGACAGCCCUGCGGGCGAGCGUUUCUUGGCUGGGCGCUAGCCUGUGCUAAGCUAAUGCUGCUGCUGCUCGUGUUGGGGGUGGAGGUCUCAGCGGGGGAUUUCUGAUAAUACCCUGAAAAGAUGAUGAAAAGCACAACAACUCAAAAGCUCAAGAACCCUCUUAUGUAUAUACUGCACAGGUACAGCAGCUUCUUCAGAAAAUGUUUCAGAAACUCUGCGUUCAUGAUGUGAUUUCUUUCUUGCUUUUUUGUUUCUUUUUUCUCUACUUCUGUGUCAGUAUACAGCAUAAACGGUAUGAGACAGCCAGCUUAAUAAAUAUAAUUCAUUAUGGUGAUUUGCGCA
rnacentral:lncRNA from 1 species